ACCUGUUUCCUUGUUAUAGGGGUCCAGCACUCCAUCUGACCAUCAUCAGAAACUUUGUUCCUGAAGUGGAAACAGGAUGAAGAAACAGUUGUCAUCCCCGGAAGCGUCAGAAGACAUAGACGGACACAGAUGAGGGAGAAUUCAUGGCAGGAGAAUCACCCCAGGGAACUAUGAAGGAGUUUUGUGAUCGUACAUAAAGAGAAUCCUGAGUUACUGAAGGCACCAUCAGCAUACCCAUUCAUGAAACUGCAUCGAAGACAUCCAGCCAGCCAGCGUCUCUACAAUGUUGGAGACAGCGCAGCCCAAGCCAGAGCAGAGUCUGGGAAUAUUUCUGGGUUUGUUUUUUUUUAUCCUCCUUCUUCUAAUUUUCUUGUUGAAAAGACUGAGUGAUCCUUGUGCUCUGAUUGUGCUACUGGAACCCCCCAAC